rnacentral:rRNA from 1 species
UACAGAGGUCUCGAGCGUUGUUCGGAUUCUUUGGGCGUAAAGGGCGCGUAGGCUGCGGGGCAAGUCGGGUGUGAAAUCUCAGAGCUCAACUCUGAAACUGCACUCGAUACUGCUUUGCUUGAGGACUGGAGAGGAGAUUGGAAUUCACGGUGUAGCAGUGAAAUGCGUAGAUAUCGUGAGGAAGACCAGUGGCGAAGGCGGAUCUCUGGACAGUUCCUGACGCUGAGGCGCGAAGGCCAGGGGAGCAAACGGG